CUCAGGUCCCCACAGCUCUGCAGGUGGAUCCCUUCCAGGGGCUGGUGCUCAGCUGCCAGCCAUGGGCUCCGGGGAACCUGCAGCACCAGAUGGGGAAAACCGAGGCAUGAAAGCCCCAGGACAUCCCGGAAGGCCCCACAGUGAGUCAGCAGCAGGGCCAGGAUAAUUUCAUAAACAUUAGGGCUGGAAGGGACCUCAGAAGAUCAUCACGUCCAGCCCUCUAUCCCAGGGGCAGGAAGUCGGCUAGGGUCAAAGGAUCCCAGCAAGGUAAGUGUCCAAACAUUUCUUAAAAGAGUCCAGAGUAGGUGUUUGCACCACAUCUGGAGGGAGUCUAUUCCAGGCCUUGGGGGCUCGGACAGUAAAGAAGUUUUUCCUUAUGUCCAGCCUAAAAGGGUCUUGCAGGACUUUAUGACCGUUGGACCUUGUCAUCCCUUGGGGCGCUCUGGUGAACGGGCGUUACCCCAGAUCCUGAUGCACACCCCUUAUAUACUUAUAGGCCAAAUAUAUACUUAUAUGAUGAA